CCUACGGGUGGCAGCAGUGAGGAAUAUUGGUCAAUGGACGCAAGUCUGAACCAGCCAUGCCGCGUGCAGGAAGACGGCUCUAUGAGUUGUAAACUGCUUUUGUACGAGGGUAAACGCAGAUACGUGUAUCUGUCUGAAAGUCUCGUACGAAUAAGGAUCGGCUAACUCCGUGCCAGCAGCCGCGGUAAUACUGAGGAUUCAAGCGUUAUCCGGAUUUAUUGGGUUUAAAGGGUGCGUAGGCGGGCGGAUAAGUUAGAGGUGAAAUCCAGUGGCUCAACUUAGGAAUUGCCUUUGAUAUUGUUCGGCUAGAGAGUAGUCGCGGUAGGCGGAAUGUAUGGUGUAGCGGUGAAAUGCGUAGAUAUCAUACAGAACACCGAUUGCGAAGGCAGCUUACCAAGCUACUUCUGACGUUGAGGCACGAAAGCGUGGGGAGCAAACAGGAUUAGAUACCCCUGUAGUC
rnacentral:rRNA from 1 species